rnacentral:rRNA from 1 species
UGCUUUUGAUGGGCGUCGACCGGCGCACGGGUGAGUAACGCGUAUCCAACCUGCCCACCACUUGGGGAUAACCUUGCGAAAGUAAGACUAAUACCCAAUGAUAUCUCUAGAAGACAUCUGAAAGAGAUUAAGGAUUUAUCGGUGAUGGAUGGGGAUGCGUCUGAUUAGCUUGUUGGCGGGGUAACGGCCCACCAAGGCUACGAUCAGUAGGGGUUCUGAGAGGAAGGUCCCCCACAUUGGAACUGAGACACGGUCCAAACUCCUACGGGAGGCAGCAGUGAGGAAUAUUGGUCAAUGGACGAGAGUCUGAACCAGCCAAGUAGCGUGCAGGAUGACGGCCCUAUGGGUUGUAAACUGCUUUUAUAAGGGAAUAAAGUGAGCCUCGUGAGGCUUUUUGCAUGUACCUUAUGAAUAAGGACCGGCUAAUUCCGUGCCAGCAGCCGCGGUAAUACGGAAGGUCCGGGCGUUAUCCGGAUUUAUUGGGUUUAAAGGGAGCGUAGGCCGGAGAUUAAGCGUGUUGUGAAAUGUAGACGCUCAACGUCUGCACUGCAGCGCGAACUGGUUUCCUUGAGUACGCACAAAGUGGGCGGAAUUCGUGGUGUAGCGGUGAAAUGCUUAGAUAUCACGAAGAACUCCGAUUGCGAAGGCAGCUCACUGGAGCGCAACUGACGCUGAAGCUCGAAAGUGCGGGUAUCGAACAGGAUUAGAUACCCUGGUAGUCCGCACGGUAAACGAUGGAUGCCCGCUGUUGGUCUGAAUAGGUCAGCGGCCAAGCGAAAGCAUUAAGCAUCCCACCUGGGGAGUACGCCGGCAACGGUGCAACUC